rnacentral:rRNA from 1 species
ACGGAAGGCAGCAGUGAGGAAUAUUGGUCAAUGGGCGAGAGCCUGAACCAGCCAAGUCGCGUGAAGGACGACGGCCCUAUGGGUUGUAAACUUCUUUUGUAUGGGAAUAAAGUGUAGCUCGUGCAGCUAUUUUGUAUGUACCAUAAGAAUAAGCAUCGGCUAACUCCGUGCCAGCAGCCGCGGUAAUACGGAGGAUGCGAGCGUUAUCCGGAUUUAUUGGGUUUAAAGGGUGCGUAGGCGGCCUUUUAAGUCAGCGGUGAAAUCUUGCGGCUCAACCGUAAAAUUGCCGUUGAAACUGGAGGGCUUGAGUGCAAACGAGGCAGGCGGAAUGCGCCGUGUAGCGGUGAAAUGCUUAGAUAUGGCGCAGAACCCCGAUUGCGAAGGCAGCUUGCCAGCAUGCAACUGACGCUGAGGCACGAAAGCGUGGGUAUCAAACAGGAUUAGAUACCCUGGUA